AAAUACAUAAUUUUUGGAUUGGAUUCACAUGACUUUCUUAAUUCAACUUCACUUCAAUGAACACAAUUCAGGAGUGUAAUUUAAAUAAAUUUUUGCAGUGUCUUUCCAAACAUUCUAUUCUUUUGUACCGAGCUCUUUCUUUGUACUGAGUUGCCUAUGGUGACCAAAUUUUUUAUGGAAAUGGAAUUUUGUAUUGUUAAGCA